rnacentral:rRNA from 1 species
CCGGCGACCGGCGCACGGGUGAGUAACACGUAUGCAACCUGGCCGCCACAGGGGGAUAACCCGCGGAAACGCGGCCUAAUACCCCGUGACGCCACCGGAGGGCAUCCUCCGGUGGCCAAAGGAGCGAUCCGGAGGCGGAUGGGCAUGCGGCGCAUUAGCUAGACGGCGGGGUGACGGCCCACCGUGGCGACGAUGCGUAGGGGUUCUGAGAGGAAGGCCCCCCACACUGGGACUGAGACACGGCCCAGACUCCUACGGAAGGCAGCAG